rnacentral:rRNA from 1 species
CGAACGGCGAGCGUAUACAUGCAAGUCGAGCGCAGGAAGCAAGCAGAUCCCCUUCGGGGGUGACGCUUGUGGAAUGAGCGGCGGACGGGUGAGUAACACGUGGGCAACCUGCCUGUAAGACUGGGAUAACCCCGGGAAACCGGGGCUAAUACCGGAUAAUACUUUUCUUUGCAUAAAGGAAAGUUGAAAGGCGGUUUCGGCUGCCACUUACAGAUGGGCCCGCGGCGCAUUAGCUAGUUGGUGAGGUAACGGCUCACCAAGGCGACGAUGCGUAGCCGACCUGAGAGGGUGAUCGGCCACACUGGGACUGAGACACGGCCCAGACUCCUACGGGAGGCAGCAGUAGGGAAUCUUCCGCAAUGGACGAAAGUCUGACGGAGCAACGCCGCGUGAGUGAUGAAGGUUUUCGGAUCGUAAAACUCUGUUGUUAGGGAAGAACAAGUCGGGUAGUAACUGACCCGGCCUUGACGGUACCUAACCAGAAAGCCCCGGCUAACUACGUGCCAGCAGCCGCGGUAAUACGUAGGGGGCAAGCGUUGUCCGGAAUUAUUGGGCGUAAAGCGCUCGCAGGCGGUCCUUUAAGUCUGAUGUGAAAUCUCG